UACGGAGGAUCCGAGCGUUAUCCGGAUUUAUUGGGUUUAAAGGGAGCGUAGGCGGGUGCUUAAGUCAGUUGUGAAAGUUUGCGGCUCAACCGUAAAAUUGCAGUUGAUACUGGGCGCCUUGAGUGCAGCAUAGGUAGGCGGAAUUCGUGGUGUAGCGGUGAAAUGCUUAGAUAUCACGAAGAACUCCGAUUGCGAAGGCAGCUUACUGGACUGUAACUGACGCUGAUGCUCGAAAGUGUGGGUAUCAAACAGG
rnacentral:rRNA from 2 species